rnacentral:rRNA from 1 species
CGGACGGGUGAGUAACGCGUGAGAAUCUACCAAAAGGACUGGGACAACCACUGGAAACGGUGGCUAAUACCGGAUGAGCCGAAAAGUAAAAAGGGAAACCUGCCUUUUGAAGAGCUCGCGUCUGAUUAGCUAGUUGGUGAGGUAAGAGCUCACCAAGGCAGCGAUCAGUAGCUGGUCUGAGAGGAUGACCAGCCACACUGGGACUGAGACACGGCCCAGACUCCUACGGGAGGCAGCAGUGGGGAAUUUUCCGCAAUGGGCGAAAGCCUGACGGAGCAAUACCGCGUGAGGGAAGAAGGCUCUUGGGUCGUAAACCUCUUUUAUCAGGGAAGAAAAAAAUGACGGUACCUGAAGGAUCAGCCUCGGCUAACUCCGUGCCAGCAGCCGCGGUAAUACGGAGGAGGCAAGCGUUAUCCGGAAUUAUUGGGCGUAAAGCGUCCGCAGGUGGCUUAUCAAGUCUGCUGUCAAAGAGUGGGGCUUAACCCCAUCAAGGCAGUGGAAACUGGGAAGCUAGAGUGCCGUAGGGGUAGAGGGAAUUCCCGGUGCAGCGGUGAAAUGCGUAGAGAUCGGGAAGAACAUCGGUGGCGAAAGCGCUCUACUGGACGGCAACUGACACUCAGGGACGAGAGCUAGGGGAGCGAAUGGGAUUAGAUACCCCAGUAGUC